rnacentral:rRNA from 1 species
AACGAACGCUGGCGGCAUGCCUAACACAUGCAAGUCGAACGAGACCUUCGGGUCUAUUGUCUCACGGGUGCGUCACGCGUGGGAACCUGCCCUUAGGUUCGGAAUACCUCCCCGAAAGGGGUGCUAAUACCGGAUAAUGUCUUCGGACCAAAGAUUUAUCGCCUUUGGAUGGUCCCGCGUUGGAUUCGCUCUUUGGUAGGGUAAUAGCCUACCAAGGCGUCGAUCCAUAACUGGUCUGAGAGGAUGAUCAGCCACACUGGGACGGAGAACCGGCCCAGACUCCUACGGAAGGCAGCAGUGGGGAAUAUUGGACAAUGGGCGAAAGGCUGAUCGAGCAAUGCCGCGUGAGUGAUGAAGGCAUUAGGGUUGUAAAGCGCUUUUACCCGGGAUGAUAAUGACAGUACCGGGAGAAUAAGCUACGGCUAACUCCGUG